AAAGAGUUAAGGUUUUGAGAGAUGAAAGAAGAGGUGAACAUUCUUGAUUAAUCAAAAUCGUCGCGAUAGACUUGUGGAUUGAAUAGGGGGUGAUCCCUACAAGGCCACAUAAUUCAGCCUAGGCAUCAACAAGUCCACAGCUCAUGCACCAAGAAGUUCACAGUGUAGCAGCAACUGCUUCAAAGAGUUGCAGACGUCACAGAAUUAAGCUCUUCUAAAUUUGGGCAAAAUAGUUGCACAUAACAUUAUGCAGCACAAGAUUGCAACUCUAUGAUACAGGUGUAGUUUAUGAAAAAGUCGUAAAAAGCAGGUCAUUGAUUGAGCAUCUAUGUAAAAAUUUGGACGGGGUAACGUCAUACAUUUUACAGUUGAAAAUUUUAGUUUACAACUUAUAAUUUGUUUCAGCUUUUCAAUUUAUUUAUAGCUUUGUUUACCAAUAUGCUGUAGUAAUAACUAAUAGCUAGUUCUUUUUCCUGCCUGUUAUGUAAAGUUUACAAAUUUGUUGUUGA